rnacentral:rRNA from 1 species
AUUCCAGACUCCUACGGGAGGCAGCAGUGGGGAAUAUUGGGCAAUGGGCGCAAGCCUGACCCAGCAACGCCGCGUGAAGGAAGAAGGCUUUCGGGUUGUAAACUUCUUUUGUCAGGGACGAAGCAAGUGACGGUACCUGACGAAUAAGCCACGGCUAACUACGUGCCAGCAGCCGCGGUAAUACGUAGGGAGCGAGCGUUAUCCGGAAUUAUUUGGUGUAAAGGGUGCGUAGACGGGAAAACAAGUUAGUUGUGAAAUCCCUCGGCUUAACUGAGGAACUGCAACUAAAACUAUUUUUCUUGAGUGCAGGAGAGGUAAGUGGAAUUCCUAGUGUAGCGGUGAAAUGCGUAGAUAUUAGGAGGAACACCAGUGGCGAAGGCGACUUACUGGACUGUAACUGACGUUGAGGCACGAAAGUGUGGGGAGCAAACAGGAUUAGAUACCCCCGUG